AAAAUAUAUAAAAAGCUUUUUGUCAAAUUAUAUUAAUUGUCUUUUACAAUAUAAAAAAAUGGUUAAAGUAAAAAAAAUUGAGGAAAGUAAAAAAAUAAAAGUCAAACGACAAUUAUUUGUCAAACCUGUAGCUAAGAACUUUUGUCAAUUCUUCAGGUGACACUUAUGUAAUUGAUUUAGAAAACAAACCAGAAGAUCAACAAUUAUGUUAUCGUAGUUAUGUUUCUUGGUGUAAAGGAAAUACUCCUUCUACUCUUAGUAUUAAUAAUUUUGCAGAUUUUUAUACCUAUGACGACGACAGUUUUAUUAGAAACCCUAAAGAUUAUUUCAGUAAAACGAAUAAUUUAACUGAACCUUUAGCAAUUGACACUACUAGCGAUUAUAAUUAUGUUAACGACAAACCUCCGGCAACCAUUCAAGGAAACAAUUCCUUACAAAUUACCGUUGAUUUUGUUACCAAUUUUAAAGGUAUCGUGACUCUGUACCUUCAACAUGCGGCACAAUUGAUUCAAACUGGAACAGGAGAAGACGAAAAUUACACAUAUUUUCCUUUCAAAUUUAAAUCAUCAUAACACCUUUUACAACAUUUUUGUUUUAGUUAAAUUAACCAUGUUUUAAUUGUAUUUUUUUAUGCACGCACGACUAUUUAAUUUAAAAAGAUAUAAAAAACUUCAUUCAUACUUUGUUUUUUCUAAAAAAAAAAUUUUUUUAAAUCUAUGGCGCGAAGGCAUUAUCGAAAAAGAAGACAUCAUCGAAGACAUCGAGGUAAAGGAAAAAUUAUUACUAAAGUUAAAAAUCUAGCUAGGCGUAUUCUUAGAUCUGACGUAGGAGGAUAUGCUCUUGAUUAUUUAGCAAAACAACGUAAUGUGUAAAACGUGUAAAAAAAGAAAUUAUUCAAGAAAAAAAAAACGUUUUAGAAAAAAAAUUCGAGGAUCUGGAGAUCUAAUGAAAAGUUUAGCAGUCAUUGAAAACUUCGCCUACAUUUGUGUCUAUUGUUAAAUCACCCGUAGCACAUUCUAUUAUGAAUGCUAUAAAAUCAAAAUAAUAAUCUAUUUAAAUAACAUAAAAAAGAUUAUAAAAAAAGACAUAAAAGUAAAAAAAUGAUUUUAUUUUUAUUAUAAUGCGUAGAAGACGUGGUCGUGGCAGAGUUUAUUUACCACCAUUAAAAGGAGCUGGUAAAAGACGAUUAAGAAAACGCUUGCGUGGCAAAUUUUUACCAUUAUUAGCAAUGGGUAUGUUGGGAAGUACAUUUUUAGGAGGUAUGCGAUAAUACAAAAAUAAAUAUGCAUAAAAAACGAAUUUUUUAAAAAAGACGAUCUAAAAGACGUUACAAAAAACGGAUACGUGGUAAAUAUAUGGCUGCAAUAGGAGCAAUUGCUUCAAAACUUUUACCAAGACUUUUACCUGUAUUAGGAAGAGCCGCUUUAGGUGGUGCAGUUUCGGGAGGAAUAUCUUAUGGGAUCAAUCAAGCUGGAAAAUAAAAACAUUUCUUUGUAUCAUUUUAAUUUAUUAAAUAUUGUAUUACAACCGUA